UGCCCAGCAACUCCUAUCCCUACCUCCUCGUGGUACCGGCCGGAAACUAUGAGCAACCUUAGGGAAGAUCGAGUAACCAACCCCGGUGGGAACUUUGGUCACAGGCUGACAGGGUAGG
rfam:Aedes albopictus isolate Foshan contig116736, whole genome shotgun sequence.